rnacentral:rRNA from 1 species
AUUGAACGCUGGCGGCAUGCCUUACACAUGCAAGUCGAACGGCAGCACGGGUGCUUGCACCUGGUGGCGAGUGGCGAACGGGUGAGUAAUACAUCGGAACAUGUCCUGUAGUGGGGGAUAGCCCGGCGAAAGCCGGAUUAAUACCGCAUACGAUCUACGGAUGAAAGCGGGGGACCUUCGGGCCUCGCGUUCUGGGGUUGGCCGAUGGCUGAUUAGCUAGUUGGUGGGGUAAAGGCCUACCAAGGCGACGAUCAGUAGCUGGUCUGAGAGGACGACCAGCCACACUGGGACUGAGACACGGCCCAGACUCCUACGGGAGGCAGCAGUGGGGAAUUUUGGACAAUGGGCGAAAGCCUGAUCCAGCAAUGCCGCGUGUGUGAAGAAGGCCUUCGGGUUGUAAAGCACUUUUGUCCGGAAAGAAAUCCUUGGCCCUAAUACGGUCGGGGGAUGACGGUACCGGAAGAAUAAGCACCGGCUAACUACGUG